rnacentral:rRNA from 1 species
UCGAGGAUCUUCGGCAAUGGGCGCAAGCCUGACCGAGCGACGCCGCGUGUGCGAUGAAGGCCUUCGGGUUGUAAAGCACUGUCGAGGGGGAUAAAGCCCGCAAGGGUUGAUUGAUCCCUGGAGGAAGCACGGGCUAAGUUCGUGCCAGCAGCCGCGGUAAGACGAACCGUGCGAACGUUGUUCGGAAUCACUGGGCUUAAAGGGCGCGUAGGCGGCGGUUCAAGUCCGGGGUGAAAGCCCCCAGCUUAACUGGGGAAGGGCCUUGGAUACUGAAUCGCUCGAGGGAGGUAGGGGUCGAGGGAACUUCUGGUGGAGCGGUGAAAUGCGUUGAUAUCAGAAGGAACGCCGGUGGCGAAAGCGCUCGACUGGACCUUUACUGACGCUGAGGCGCGAAAGCUAGGGGAGCAAACGGGAUUAGAUACCCCUGUAGUCC